UACAUGGGGUGCAAACGUUGCUCGGAAUCACUGGGCGUAAAGCGCACGUAGGCGGAUUGUUAAGUCAGGGGUGAAAUCCUGGAGCUCAACUCCAGAACUGCCUUUGAUACUGGCGAUCUCGAGUCCGGGAGAGGUGAGUGGAACUGCGAGUGUAGAGGUGAAAUUCGUAGAUAUUCGCAAGAACACCAGUGGCGAAGGCGGCUCACUGGCCCGGUACUGACGCUGAGGUGCGAAAGCGUGGGGAGCAAACAGG
rnacentral:rRNA from 1 species